GUAGUCAGGAAGCUGUCCUGUCCAGCUCUACAGCCAAGCUCAGUGUUCCUCAGCACUGCUGCAGGGCACUUCCUUUUGCUGGAGGUGCAGGGUUUGAUGUGCAUGUGCCCUAGUCAGAUGGUGUCAUCCCACUAGCAGGUCAUUUGAUGUCCCAUCUUCCGUUCCCACUGGAGCCAUGACCCACCCUUCACUAAGUCCAUUGAUCUGAGAGUGGCAGGAUGUGCAGACUUAACCUGUCUCCUGGGAGCGCAUUUAUUGUCAUGUUGCUUGGGUAUGGAAGGAUAACUCUUAUUCCUAGUGAAAGAAGUCCUCUCGGAGAUCUAAACAAACACAGAAUAGUUCUUAUAAGUCUGGUCAUGAAGUCCCAACCUUCCCAUAGAUGACUUGAUUAUGCCCCCAUUGAGCAGCAGCUGUUUCCAUGGUCCUUGUUCCCCCACAGGGAUCCUUAGACAGUCCAUUCAUUCAGCUGCCACACUGACCAGGUGUCCAGGGUAUCAGCAAUGACACCAUAGUAAGUAAAAAUGUGGCUGGAUGUGGUGGCAGAGGUGGCCAGCAGACCCUAAAGAUGCAGAGCCUAUUGUAUACAUCAUUUCCAAUCUAGGUCAGAAGAUUGCCAUUGAGUGUCCAGAUGGCAGCGAUGUUCAGUGCACCUUCAUGAUUGCAGUUUUAUAGAGCCAUCAGUGGCCACACCUCUGAAUCCUGGACCCUUAGCCACAGUGGGCUGGAGCAUCCACUAGAGGUCACUCUGGUGACUUGCUGGUAAGCUAGCCGUUAACUUGUAGAGCUUGCUGAUCCAUUGGGUAUGUCACCUGGGCCCAAGUUUUAAUGUAUCAUUUCAUUCUGCAACUGAAUUCUGUUGUGUUUGUCUAUUUACACUAAUUGUGCUCAAUAUCAAAGUAACCAAGAAUGGGAGGAUUAUAACAAUGAAAAAUUGCCUUAGGUGUGAAAGCUGAAAUUGCCUUGUAGGUCUGAAAGCUGAGAAGUUCAAGUUGCCAGCAGGUUUGCUGUCUGCUCUCAAAAUGGUGUCCUGUGAAGACAGUGAGAUGGUCCUGUGGGUCAAGAUACACUCAGAAUUGGCUUUACCACCCAUGUUUCCGCCAACAUGCAGAUCUAAGCCAGGAGCACGGAUUACCAUGAGCAACUGAAGUCACGAAGAGGGAGACUCCUGCACUCAGUUAUUGCUGCUGCCCCACCCUUGAGAGCAGAAGUGAUUUACUUUUAGCCUGUCCUGAUCUUCACACGUGCUGCCUAUCCAGUGCUCUGGAUUCUCACAGAUACCAUGAGAGCCUCUGCUUUACACUUUGAAAGCAUUUUGAAUUAGUUUGUUCUCCUCCCACUCAGUUUAGAAACUGUCUUGGGGUGACUUGUGACACGUUAAAUCGAUACGGAAUUAUAAAUCUCAGGAAAGUGCUUUAUGAUAUAGUGAAAUGUGAUAACAAUUUAAACUCUCUCUGGCUGUUCUGGUUCUCCAUCUGCAGAUCAGGCUAGCCUCCAACACUGGUUUGUAAACUUUUAAACUUAGCCUAUAUAAUGCAAAAUAGUGACUUUAUUCCAUCUUCAUGCAUAUAUAUUAUCACACUUUGCUCAGAUUGACUCCUGCUUUACUGUCUCUUGUUCUCCUAAGUGAGAACCAUGGGUCCUCCUCUUCAAUAGUCACAAUUUUAUGUUUUUUUUCAAUUUCCCUCCAGAUUGCUGCCCUCCUUCCUGGUUCCCUAUCCCCCCACCCUGUUACACAGUCCCUUUCCCCACACUCCAUCCCUUGUUCCCUUUCUCCUUUGAGAAUGUGAAGAACUUCCCCCCCCCCCCCUGCAGGUCCAGGAGCAUCCUCUCCCACUGAAGCCAGACAAUACAUCCUACUUAAGGGAACUCUACAGAUAGGGAACAGCAUUAGCAAUAGCCCUCUUUCUCCUAUUGCGGAACAAGCUAUACAUCUGCUACCUGUGUGCAGGGUGCCCAUGUAUGCUCUUUGGUUGGUGGUUCAGUCUCUGAGGGCCCCAAGGAUCCAGGUUAGUUGACUUUGUUGGUCCUUCUGCGGAGUUCCUAUCCUAUUUAGGGCUCUCAAUCCUUUCCCCAGCUCUUCCAUAAGAGUCCCCAAGCUUCAUCUUGUGUUUGGCUGUGAGUCUCAGCAUCUAUUUUUGGUCAGCUUCUGGGUAGAGCCUCUCAGAGGACAGUUAUGCUAGGCUCCUGUCUGCAAGCAGAACAGAGUAUCAUUAAUAGUGUCAGAUAUUGGUAAUUGAAAAUGGGAUUGGCCUCAAGUUGGACCAGUUAUUGGUUGGCCAUUCCCUCAAUCUUUGCUCCACCCCCAUCUCUGCAUUUCUUGUAGACAGGAUAAAUUUUGGGUCUAAAGUUUUGUGGUUGUAUUGGUGCCCUUUAUACUUUUUAUAUGUUUAAAAUAAAUCUGGGUUCCACAUCAAGGAAAAAUGCUAUGUGAGUGAAGGGACUCUAGCUGUCCUGAGAAAGACAAGCAUGGCUCUGGCAGGCCUUGCCCUUCUCCACAAUUCCCUCUCCUUGGGUAAAUCCUGUUAGAUUAUAUUCCUAAAGCUGGUUGCUAAGGUCUAUUCCUUUAUUUGGCCACUUCCUCCUUCUGGGGCUAUCAAAGUAUUGAAGUUCAUCAGUCAAAAACCCCCUUACAGUUAAUCUAUUUAACAUGCCCAAUCAAAAUUAAACAGCUCAUCCUUACACGGAGUUUCACCUUUGAUUGUAUAAACUACCAUCUGCCUGUGGGCCAUGUCUGCCUCCUCUCUAUCCAGAGGCAGUACUUUGUUCCCUUUCCCCUUGCUCCUUUCCUACUCUUCUUAGUCUUCUAGCUCCCGUCUUUGUCUCUUAUUCUCUGGCCUGUUUUCCCUGGCAAAUAAAUCUCCUUUGUGUA